UACGGAGGGUGCGAACGUUAAUCGGAAUUACUGGGCGUAAAGCGCGCGUAGGUGGCUCGAUAAGCCAGUUGUGAAAGCCCCGGGCUCAACCUGGGAACGGCAUCCGGAACUGUCAAGCUAGAGUGCAGGAGAGGAAGGUAGAAUUCCCGGUGUAGCGGUGAAAUGCGUAGGGAUCGGGAGGAAUACCAGUGGCGAAGGCGGCCUUCUGGACUGACACUGACACUGAGGUGCGAAAGCGUGGGUAGCAAACAGG
rnacentral:rRNA from 1 species